rnacentral:rRNA from 1 species
GAUGAACGCUGGCGGCGUGCCUAAUACAUGCAAGUCGAGCGAACAGACGAGGAGCUUGCUCCUCUGACGUUAGCGGCGGACGGGUGAGUAACACGUGGAUAACCUACCUAUAAGACUGGGAUAACUUCGGGAAACCGGAGCUAAUACCGGAUAAUAUAUUGAACCGCAUGGUUCAAUAGUGAAAGACGGCUUUGCUGUCACUUAUAGAUGGAUCUGCGCCGCAUUAGCUAGUUGGUAAGGUAACGGCUUACCAAGGCAACGAUGCGUAGCCGACCUGAGAGGGUGAUCGGCCACACUGGAACUGAGACACGGUCCAGACUCCUAAGGGAGGCAGCAGUAGGGAAUCGUCCGCAAUGGGCGAAAGCCUGACGGAGCAACGCCGCGUGAGUGAUGAAGGUCUUCGGAUCGUAAAACUCUGUUAUUAGGGAAGAACAAAUGUGCAAGUAACUGUGCACGUCUUGACGGUACCUAAUCAGAAAGCCACGGCUAACUACGUG